GGGACUAUGGCUCAUCUGGGUAGUGCGCACGCCUGAUAAGCGGGAGGUCGAUGGUUCAAGGCCAUUUAGGCCCA
rnacentral:tRNA from 1 species